rnacentral:rRNA from 1 species
AACGAACGCUGGCGGCAUGCCUAACACAUGCAAGUCGAACGAGACCUUCGGGCCUAGUGGCGCACGGGUGCGUAACGCGUGGGAACCUGCCCUUAGGUUCGGAAUAACUCCCCGAAAGGGGUGCUAAUACCGGAUAAUGUCUUCGGACCAAAGAUUUAUCGCCUUUGGAUGGGCCCGCGUUGGAUUAGCUAGUUGGUAGGGUAAAAGCCUACCAAGGCGACGAUCCAUAGCUGGUCUGAGAGGAUGAUCAGCCACACUGGGACUGAGACACGGCCCAGACUCCUACGGGAGGCAGCAGUGGGGAAUAUUGGACAAUGGGCGAAAGCCUGAUCCAGCAAUGCCGCGUGAGUGAUGAAGGCCUUAGGGUUGUAAAGCUCUUUUACCCGGGAUGAUAAUGACAGUACCGGGAGAAUAAGCUCCGGCUAACUCCGUG